CAGUAGCGUAUAUUAAAGUUGUUGCCGCUAAAAAGCUCGUAGUUGGAUUUCUGGCAAACCUAACUGGCCCGGUUCCUCACGGAACUGGGUGCCGGUUGGCGUUUCGCCAUCCUUUCCGGGAUGUUCCGGAGUGCUGCUGCCUACCCGUAAGGGCAGGGCGGCGGCGCCGGGUUUUAUGCAGACCGGAUCUGUUACUUUGAAAAAUUAGAGUGUUUCAAGCAGGCAUUUUCGCCUUGAAUACAUUAGCAUGGAAUAAUGGAAUAGGACUUUGGUUCUAUUUUGUUGGUUUCUAGGACCGAAGUAAUGAUUAAUAGGGACAGUUGGGGGCAUUAGUAUUUAAUUGUCAGAGGUGAAAUUCUUGGAUUUAUGAAAGACUAACUACUGCGAAAGCAUUUGCCAAGGAUGUUUUCAUUAAUCAAGAACGAAAGUUAGGGGAUCGAAGACGAUUAGAUACCAU
rnacentral:rRNA from 1 species